rnacentral:rRNA from 1 species
UGGUGGUUAUAGCUAAAGGGUCACACCUCUUUCCAUUUCGAACAGAGUAGUUAAGCCUUUAUACGCCGAUGGUACUGCAUGGGCAACUGUGUGGGAGAGUAGGUAGCCGCCA